rnacentral:lncRNA from 1 species
GGUGUGGCCUCCGGGCGGCAUGGCUGCUUCCCAGGUGAUGCCGGCUUCAGCUAGUGGGGUCUAGUUGACCGUUCCGCAGCCGCCAGGGCCAGCGGAAAGCCGGUCAGGGGGAACCGCGGCGGGGCUGGUGUCAUGAGCCUGAGGUGAACUUGAGGGUGCCUCCUCAGCGGUCUCCCGCCCUGCCCUGAGGGGCGCCGGGACCCCAAAGAGCGGAGGAAGAGCGCCACCCCGACGGCCACCGCUUCGGAGCCAGCACGCGGGGUACCCUACGGGGAGCGCGGAUGCCCCCGUGUUCGGGCGGGGACGGCUCCACCCCUCCUGGGCCCUCCCUUCGGGACAGGGACUGUCCCGCCCAGAGUGCUGAAUACCCGCGCGACCGUCUGGAUCCCCGCCCAGGAAGCCCCUCUGAAGCCUCCUCGCCGCCGUUUCUGAGAACAGGGCACCUGUUAACUGGUACCAAGAAAAGGCCCAAGUGUUUCUCUGGCAUCUGAUGGUGUCUGGAUCCACCACUCUACUCUGUCUCUGGAAACAGCCCUUCCACGUCUCUGCAUUCCCUGUCACCGCGUCACUGGCCUUCAGACAGAGCCAAGGUGCAGGGCAACACCUCUACAAGGAUCUGCAGCCAUUUAUAUUGCUUAGGCUACUAUGCCUGAGGAAACCCAGACCCAAGACCAACCGAUGGAGGAGGAGGAGGUUGAGACGUUCGCCUUUCAGGCAGAAAUUGCCCAGUUGAUGUCAUUGAUCAUCAAUACUUUCUACUCGAACAAAGAGAUCUUUCUGAGAGAGCUCAUUUCAAAUUCAUCAGAGCAUUGGACAAAAUCCGGUAUGAAAGCUUGACAGAUCCCAGUAAAUUAGACUCUGGGAAAGAGCUGCAUAUUAACCUUAUACCGAACAAACAAGAUCGAACUCUCACUAUUGUGGAUACUGGAAUUGGAAUGACCAAGGCUGACUUGAUCAAUAACCUUGGUACUAUCGCCAAGUCUGGGACCAAAGCGUUCAUGGAAGCUUUGCAGGCUGGUGCAGAUAUCUCUAUGAUUGGCCAGUUCGGUGUUGGUUUUUAUUC